UGCGUAGGCGGCAUGAUAAGUCAGGGGUGAAAGCCCACAGCUCAACUGUGGAAUUGCCUUUGAUACUGUCAAGCUUGAAUUAGGUUGAGGUUGGUGGAAUGUGACAUGUAGCGGUGAAAUGCAUAGAUAUGUCAUAGAACACCAAUUGCGAAGGCAGCUGGCUAGACCUUAAUUGACGCUGAGGCACGAAAGCGUGGGGAGCGAACAGGAUUAGAUACCCUGGUAGUC
rnacentral:rRNA from 1 species